rnacentral:lncRNA from 1 species
AUGAUUUGUGGGAUGCCAGUCAUUUCUUCCAUGUCUGGAUGCCUUCUUCUUCAAGACUCAGAUUCUUCCACAUCUCUAGAAGGAAGAGUCCAAGUUUCCAUAACUGAUGGGACAGAUAUGCCAUUGGACCCACUAAAUACAGAGAACUGGUGUGAAGGAAUGAGAACAACAAAGCAUAAAAGAAGAGAAGACCAGAGAAGUGGAGACCUGGGGUCCCAGAGAUGGAGAGGGAAUUCCCGGAGGCCGCAGAAAACUUGA